GACAGAGGGUGCAAACGUUGUUCGGAAUUACUGGGCGUAAAGCGCGUGUAGGCGGUUCGGUAAGUCGGAUGUGAAAGCCCCGGGCUCAACCCUGGAAGUGCACUCGAUACUGCCGAGCUAGAGUAUCGGAGAGGUUGGUGGAAUUCUCGGUGUAGAGGUGAAAUUCGUAGAUAUCGAGAGGAACACCGGUGGCGAAGGCGGCCAACUGGACGAAUACUGACGCUGAGACUCGAAAGCGUGGGGAGCAAACAGG
rnacentral:rRNA from 1 species